AAGAAACGUUCUGGAUGGGCGGAGGAUAUCUUUAAGUGGGAACAUACAAUUCAGACUGGUGUUACAAUUGACUUAAGAGGGUUUAAUACCAGCUACCUCGUUCUACAAGCUAUGGCCAUGUGGGGGAAUGACAGACGACUGAAAUUUGUUGGGGAUGCAAAGACUCUUCGAAGGAACUUUGUGAUUGAUCUGUUAAGUUAUGAGGACAAUUCGUACCGAUAUGCCAUCCCUGCAAACAUACAACAAAG